UGCAGUCGAGCGCCCAGCAAAUGGGAGCGGCAGACGGGUGAGUAACGCGUGGUUGUAUCUACCCAUUGGUACGGAAUAACCCAGGGAAACUUGGACUAAUACCGUAUGUGCCCUUCGGGGGAAAGAUUUAUCGCCAAUGGAUGAACCCGCGUCUGAUUAGCUAGUUGGUGAGGUAAAGGCUCACCAAGGCGACGAUCAGUAGCUGGUCUGAGAGGAUGAUCAGCCACACUGGGACUGAGACACGGCCCAGACUCCUACGGGAGGCAGCAGUGGGGAAUAUUGGACAAUGGGCGCAAGCCUGAUCCAGCCAUGCCGCGUGAGUGAUGAAGGCCUUAGGGUUGUAAAGCUCUUUCGCCGGUGAAGAUAAUGACGGUAACCGGAGAAGAAGCCCCGGCUAACUUCGUGCCAGCAGCCGCGGUAAUACGAAGGGGGCUAGCGUUGCUCGGAAUCACUGGGCGUAAAGCGCACGUAGGCGGAUCGUUAAGUCAGGGGUGAAAUCCUGGGGCUCAACCUCAGAACUGCCCUUGAUACUGGCGAUCUCGAGUUCGAGAGAGGUUGGUGUAACUCCGA
rnacentral:rRNA from 1 species